AUGAGCGCGAAGCAGCUCUGCGACGCCUUGGCCGCCGCGGGGUUCGACAGCGGAGAUCCGCUCGACCCGGAGAGCCUCGACUGGGCGUUCCUCCAGGGAGACGACUCCAGCCGCGUGCUCGCGUGGAUCGCCGCCCGCCUACGCCGCGCCAACGUCCUCUCCGCCUCCGACCUCGAACUCUAUGAUCAGCUUGAACUAGAAGGGAAGCUUUUGGAGGGGAAGGACUUGGAUUCCGCUUUCGACAGUAUUUCGGUGUUCUCAGAAAUUGGAGAGAACCAUGAAUACACAUUCCUGUCGGAAGAAAGUCUGGGAGACAUCCGCGACUCAAAACUAGCACUUAGAGCUGAAGUUUCUGAUUUGGAAAAAAAACUCGCUUCUAUGGAAUGGCAGCUUGAUUUGCUUACAGCACAAGCUACCACCAUCACGCAGGGAAAGAAAUCCCGCACAUCUGCUAAAACUAGCGCAACUGGAAAACUUGCGAGAUUUGAUGAGGAACUUGCCGAGAGAAGUUUAGAGAUGAAUGCAGUACUUGGAAAACUUGUUGCUACGAUCCAGGAGUUGUCUUACUAUCAUUCAGAAGCUGAUAUUGGCGUCUACCUGUCAUACUGUGAUUUCCAAUCAUAUGUAAUCAGUAACCUGGCUUGUACCAAAGAACUUAACACAUGGUUCACUAAGAAGUUUGAGAAGGGAGCUCUCCGGUUUGUUGCCAAAGAAGACAUGCCAAGGGGAGAUUCUAAAAAGCCUCAUCAUUUUGUCGUCGAACUAAAGCGAAUUAAUUCAGUAUUUGCUAAAAGUAAAAAACAGUACAUCGAAGCACAAAUGGAACAUGCUAAUGAGGAGGCUACACUUUCAAAGCUGAGAGCUCAGUUGGCAUCCCAACACUCAUAUAUUCAUGAAGACAUCCAUUCUCUAAGGAGGAGAAAUUCUGAACUUACAGAAGAGCUGAAGGUUCUCUCCCUUCAAGUGCAGGAAUGCCUAUCUGAGACUGUCGCAAGCUUGUGUUCUGACCUGGCUCGACUUGAGGGUGCAAAUAUUCUGCAAGGGGAUCAUAACUUGAUUGUUCAUCGCCAGGAAUGCUACAUAAGCCAGCAAAAAAGGUUCAUCAAUCAUUUGGUGAAUCAGCUUGCUGCUCAUCGGUUUCUGGCGAUAGCCUGCCAGCUUGAAAGACGGACAAAAAUUUCGAGUGCCUAUUCAUUGUUGAAAGCUACAGAAAUGGAGCUGCAGAGCUACGUAUUAGCUGUCAAUAGUCGCCUGGUAUUGGACCAAUAUCAUCUAAUUGGCGAAGCCGCGUCUAGCAUGAUCGAAGAAGGGUCUAUUGAUGACCGGGAUACUUUUCUCCAUGCUGUGAGGGAUAUUCUUAGCAGUUACUCAGGUUCUCAAACAAUGACACCCACAUAUGUUUCAGCAUGUGCUUUGGUUGAGCAGAUAUCUGAGCUGGAGGAUGAGCUCCACUGUUAUCAGCAUGAGCUUGAAAAUGUUCUUCCACGUGAACGGGGAAGGUUUAUCGAUGAACAAUGCAGGAUGGUCCAAACACUCGAACAGAUUUUAUCUGUACCCGUUACACAUAUGCUACCAAAAUUUACACCAUGGCCACUGGCGCAAGCACUUGAAGAAUUGGAAAUGAUCAGCUAUGAAGUCUCUGCUUCUGUUAAUGAAGUAACGAUGGCUCGAGAGGAAAAGACCAAGAUGUUACAGCAGCCUUCACGCAAUGCGCAGCAGGAAAGACGAUUAUUCGCCGAUUUCUUCUGCCAUCCAGGACGGCUUGAGAAUCAAGUCAGAGAGCUGACUUCUCGUGUUAGAGGAAUCCCGGAGUAA
rnacentral:rRNA from 1 species